CGUUAGCGACAGAAGAAGCACCGGCUAACUCCGUGCCAGCAGCCGCGGUAAUACGGAGGGUGCGAGCGUUAAUCGGAAUUACUGGGCGUAAAGCGCAUGCAGGUGGUUUGUUAAGUCAGAUGUGAAAGCCCGGGGCUCAACCUCGGAAUAGCAUUUGAAACUGGCAGACUAGAGUACUGUAGAGGGGGGUAGAAUUUCAGGUGUAGCGGUGAAAUGCGUAGAGAUYUGAAGGAAUACCGGUGGCGAAGGCGGCCCCCUGGACAGAUACUGACACUCAGAUGCGAAAGCGUGGGGAGCAAACAGGAUUAGAUACCCUGGUAGUCCACGCCGUAAACGAUGUCUACUUGGAGGUUGUGGCCUUGAGCCGUGGCUUUCGGAGCUAACGCGUUAAGUAGACCGCCUGGGGAGUACGGUCGCAAGAUUAAAACUCAAAUGAAUUGACGGGGGCCCGCACAAGCGGUGGAGCAUGUGGUUUAAUUCGAUGC
rnacentral:rRNA from 1 species